UCGAAAGCCUAUCUCAGUUCGGAUUGGAGGCUGAAACUCGCCUCCAUGAAGUUGGAUUCGCUAGUAAUCGCGCAUCAGCCAUGGCGCGGUGAAUACGUUCCCGGGCCUUGUACACACCGCCCGUCAAGCCAUGGGAGUUGGGGGUGCCUGAAGUUCGUGACCGAAAGGAGCGACCUAGGGCAAAACCGAUGACUGGGGCUAAGUCGUAACAAGGUAUC
rnacentral:rRNA from 1 species